rnacentral:rRNA from 1 species
UACGUAGGGUGCAAGCGUUAAUCGGAAUUACUGGGCGUAAAGCGUGCGCAGGCGGUUGUGCAAGACCGAUGUGAAAUCCCCGGGCUUAACCUGGGAAUGGCAUUGGUGACUGCACGGCUAGAGUGUGUCAGGGGGGGGUAGAAUUCCACGUGUAGCAGUGAAAUGCGUAGAGAUGUGGAGGAAUACCGAUGGCGAAGGCAGCCCCCUGGGAUAACACUGACGCUCAUGCACGAAAGCGUGGGGAGCGAACAGG